rnacentral:lncRNA from 1 species
AAUAACGUGGGGCCUGGAGCAGGUGUUGUCCUCCUUAAAAGACAACUUGCAGCCCGUCAACCAAUUUCUUCCCAUCUGGAAGGGAGAAGGCAGCCCUCCUUGGUCCAGCGUGAGUGGGGCUGCAGAGGAACUGGGGCACAUAAGGUUGAAGGAUGCUGCUGCUAUUAAUUGGGGUAUUGUGUGUAAAGUGAUUGGCAAUCAGCAUGAUUGUGUGCUAUAAUCACAGGGCUGCAAGAGACCUGUAACUGCUGGGCUGCUGUUUUUCCUGAUAUGAAGCCUAUUCUUUAGAGGAUGUCCUCCAAGGAUUGUCUGAACAUGUCGAUAUCUGCCAUCCUGCACGGACGACUCUUCCAACUUGAAUUUGAUUUUUUUCAGACUCCAGGAGCCCCAAUGAAUUAAAAAAAAAAAGUUGUUUGAGCAUUCAAAAAUGGCAUAUUUUGAAGAAUCUUUGUGGCUAUUUUAACCUUUUGUUAGAAGGAAACCUACAUGUUGAAACUUGAAGGAGGGCCAAGGAUGUAUGUGACUUGUUUAGGAUUGUGGAGGUAAAGAGGACCCAGACAGGCACUCUAUACCAGCUCCCUGAUCACUGGUUGGCACUUUUUCUCUUCACUAUAUCGCCAGUGCUGUUUAAGACAGAAUGUCUGUCCUGGAUUGGAAAAAUAUCUCUGCUUCUUCCCACCCAAGUUGGGUUCUCUGCCCACUGCAAGACAUGCCAAUAGUCAGGAGGCGAGGUGGUAGGGGAGAAAGGCUUUCUUUUUUAUAGCUUGCUAGUAAGAGGGAAGAUGGCCAACUCAUGUCCGAAAGAGCUAUCUUACAGAACAAAGACUGUCGGCCAGUUAUAUAUGGGGCUGGUUUCCGGGUGGGGGCAGACAUGUGGUUUUAGUUUCUGAUAGUCCUUUUGUUUUACCGGAUAACCACAUCAGAGACAGGAACAAUGCCCUACACCCUGAUCUUUCAGUUGUCAUUGAUGGCUAUCAGCAUAGGCUCUCUUUCCCAGAAGGUCAUCACAUUCCUAGAGAACUCAAAAGAACAAAGUUAUCAUCUUAUCACAGUUGGGAGGGGCCACAAAAUCUACAGAGCAUGUCUGGGCUAGUUAAUCAGAGGUCAUUUAAAAAGUUACUAUAUGGUUUCUUUUCUACAGUAUGGUUUCCCUCAUGUCAACCUUGUGUUGAGCUGGUAUCACGCUGAGGUGUUAAUCAUUUGGAGGAGCUUUCUAGGCCCCAAACUUAAAAUAAUUUUGUUCAUACUUGUUAGGGAAAAAAAAAACUUUCAAAAAGUAACGGUUACAAUCAUAAGAAGACAAACAACCUGAUUAAAAAUUAUCCAAAGAUUUAAACGGACACUUCACAAAAGAAAAUAUAUGAAUAGUCAAUAGGCUCAUGAAAAGAUAUUCAUCAUCAUUAGUCAUCAGGGAAAUGCAAAUAAGAACCACAACUUGAUACCACAACACCCACUGAAAUGGCUUAAAUUAAAAAAGACUGACAUGAAAAACACCAAGUUUUGGUGAGGAUGUGGAAUAAGUAGAAUUCUCAUACCUUGCUUAUGGGAAGGCACAACCACUUUGGGGAACUUCUUGGCUGUUUUGUAUAAACUUAGAUAUAUACUUGGGUAAAGCACAUUUACCCAAAAGGA